ACGGGACCCGCACAAGCGGUGGAUGAUGUGGAUUAAUUCGAUGCAACGCGAAAAACCUUUACCUACCCUUGACAUGUCCAGAAUCCUGCAGAGAUGCGGAGUGCCGAAAGGGAAUCGGAACACAGGUGCUGCAUGGCUGUCGUCAGCUCGUGUCGUGAGAUGUUGGGUUAAGUCCCGCAACGAGCGCAACCCUUAUCAUUAGUUGCUACGCAAGGGCACUCUAAUGAGACUGCCGGUGACAAACCGGAGGAAGGUGGGGGAUGACGUCAAGUCCUCAUGGCCCUUAUGGGUAGGGCUUCACACGUCAUACAAUGGUCGGUACAGAGGGUUGCCAAGCCGCGAGGUGGAGCCAAUCCCAGAAAGCCGAUCGUAGUCCGGAUUGUUCUCUGCAACUCGAGAGCAUGAAGUCGGAAUCGCUAGUAAUCGCGGAUCAGCAUGUCGCGGUGAAUACGUUCCCGGGUCUU
rnacentral:rRNA from 1 species